rnacentral:tRNA from 1 species
AAAGAUAUAGUCAACUAUGAUAUCUGACCUGCAACCAGAUGGUGCCAAUACAGGCUAUCUUUA